GCAGGUGGACUAGUUCCAGGGCCGGUGGGGAACCAGCAUGCACCCAAUCCUGCAGAUCCAGGACAGGGAUCUGGAUGGUAUUGGCUCAGACUGUCACUCUUCAGGUCCCUGAGACUCUAGCUGCCUGUCCUGCAGGAAACAGUGGGUCCCCCUCAGUGAGGAUGUGCACUGGACGGGACAGAACUGGUACAGCAGAGAUCUCCAGAAUGACAAUUUCGUCUCCAUAGCCCCUAUGACCAUGAUGCCCGAUGAAAGUGUGAUAGCUACAAAAAGUGAACUCAGCAACCUUGUCCUGGGAAUCUGGAACCCAAAGCCUUGCUUUUGUCCCCACCAGGAAGAGGACAGAGCCCUGAGUGCUGGGCCCCGAGGCUCCCACCUCUCUGCUGUUUUUCUCUAUAGCCUGCUCAGGCUUCCCAGUGAGCCGCUUCCUGCCACCCAACAUGAGUGAAACACCAGAGCCGAAUUUUCUUAGCAACUAAAGCCUCACCCUUGCCACUGUGGAACAGGUCCCCUGUCAAGCUCCCUCUUCUUUGAAGAAACACAAAUGAGACCAAGUGAGAAGUAGCUACAGUUUAAUACAAACCUGCACCAGAA